GAUCUGCCCUCUUUCCAACCUUGCCGGGUCGUUGCCAAAUGCCAACGCAGGCGCCGGGCAGUGCACGCACAUGGCUGCGCGCGUGGGCCUGCUCCCGCACGCGAUCCUCGUCUCCUCCCGAGCUCUACCCACGCCCCGAGCUCGCGUCCCUUAUCCUCUUCCACCCGUCCCUUCCUACCUCCGCCACGCCUCCUCCUCCGCCUCCCGCUCCUGCCGCGCGUCGCCGCGUUUUGUCGCAGUCCGCGCCAUGGCUUCGGGGAACCCCUACGCCGCCGAGCUCGCCGCCGCCAAGAAGGCCGUCACCCUCGCCGCCAAACUCUGCCAGACAGUUCAACAGGAUAUUAUGCAUUCUGGCGUUCAGGCUAAGGCAGACAAAAGUCCUGUCACAGUGGCUGAUUAUGGAUCUCAAAUAUUGGUCGGUUUUUCCUUAAAGAUGGAUGUAUCAUCUGGACCAUUUUCAUUGGUGGCUGAAGAGGACUCAGAUGAAUUGAGAAAAGAUGGCGCUGAAGAAAUUUUGGAAGAUAUUACUGACCUUGUCAAUGAAACCAUCUUUGAUGAUGGUUCAUAUAACAUUUCGUUUACAAAGGAAGGUAUACUCUCUGCAAUUGAUGAUGGGAAGUCUGAGGGAGGUCCAUCUGGACGACAUUGGGUGCUUGAUCCGAUUGACGGUACUAAAGGUUUCUUGAGGGGCGACCAAUAUGCCAUUGCAUUGGCUCUGCUUGAUGAAGGUAAAGUUGUUUUGGGUGUAUUGGCUUGUCCAAAUCUUCCAUUGUCAUCAAUAAACAACAUCAAUGGUAACUCUUCGGGAGAUAAAGUUGGUGCCCUGUUUUCUGCUACAAUUGGUUGUGGGGCUCAAGUAGAGUCCUUAGAUGGCUCUCCACCACAAAAGAUUAGUGUUUGCUCCAUCGACAAUCCUGUCAAUGCAUCAUUUUUUGAAUCCUAUGAAAGUGCACACUCCAUGCAUGAUUUGACUGGCUCUAUUGCAGAGAAACUUGGUGUCCAAGCUCCUCCAGUUAGAAUCGACAGCCAAGCAAAAUAUGGUGCUCUGGCCCGAGGUGAUGGCGCCAUUUACUUGCGCUUUCCACACAAAGGUUAUAGAGAGAAAAUAUGGGACCAUGCAGCAGGAUCAAUUGUCGUGACAGAAGCUGGAGGCAUAGUAACAGAUGCUGCGGGAAACGACUUGGAUUUCUCCAAAGGGAGAUUUCUGGAUCUCGACACAGGCAUCAUCGCAACCAACAAGGAGUUGAUGCCGUCGCUCCUGAAAGCUGUCCAAGAGGCUAUUAAAGAGACGAACCAGGCUGCCUCCCUCUUAUAGCUGUUGUAGUGGUCGACAAAAAAGUAGUUGCAAAAUUUUCGUACUGGCAAACAGGUGUGCAUCAUUUCUCCGUGGUAUUACAGAGUCUAGCAAAUUUAUAGCAUCAACCUGAUUGGUGAUCAGACGUCCAUUCGUUUUACUGAAUCACCUUCUUGGUGCAGCAUUGCUAGAAGUGGACAACAUGAAUAAUUUGAGCAUCAUCAAGACAGGCGAGCGCUUGGUGCCGGUGCUCUUAAAGGCCAUCCAAGAGGUUAUCAAGGAGAAAGUUGAGCAGUCGUAAUGAUGAACAGAAAUUUUAGUUGCACGUGUGACUUACAUAUUUCAGCUGUACCACUUUUGAUCAGACACGUUCCCAGUGGGUGCUUAGCAGAUAACAGUUCUUUUACUGAAUACUGUAAAAGCCUUUUUUUUUCAAAAAUAAACUAGGUUUCCUCCGUUUUCUUUCUA